UCCCAUUUUAUUGACAAGAGACAUUGAAGUUAUUGACGUUAGGACAUGGUGACGUCACGUGGGUCGACGUCGUCGUCGCGGCCGAUCACGUGUACGUAUUCAGCCGCUGUGGUUCAGUCUCAGCAGGAGCAGUGGGUAAGCUGCAUGAGAGACGAGCUACAGGAGCCUCUUACCAUGCCGAAACCGCCGUGCUGAAACCCGCGACGAACGAGUGUUUAGCAGACGCAUGGACUGGCCACGGUUUUGAUUGAUGGCGAGCUAAGGAGCAGGCCUAGAGCCUAUAGACUGACAGAUUGCUGAAGAGCCGCAUCCUUCCUGCCAGGCUGGUAGGGGGCUCUCUGUAGCUCACAAGAACUCUCACCCCGCUCGCUGCCCCCAUUGCCACUACACCCACACAUUCCCUUCACACACACUCUCUCACUCAUAUUCCCCCUGGACUCAAUCUCAAACCCAGACGUGGGUUUCAAUGAACUGUGGGUGGGCGCUGAGGUCAUGAUUUGUGUUCAUGCUGAACCGAGUAUUUGGGAGUGUACAAUUGUUGACGCUGAGAUAUAUCUGUGUCAGUUGAAGUCUUAUUGCGGAUAUUGAUUAUUUGAUGUGCAUACUCAAGUAAUUGAAUGAGAGUUGAUUUACCUUGAACUGCUGUUCCUAGUCCAUAUUUACAAAUUGAUCAAUCUACUCACUGUACAUAAUUGCACUUUAAAUAUUGUAUGUCAUUUACUAUUUUUUUUUUCCAAUACAUGGUACCAUUUAAAAGCAUCUCAGUCUCUUGUCUACUCCUCCUUGAGCGUCCUCUAGACUUCUAAUCACUAUCACUGUGCUUUACUGGGUUAUACGUCACCCUGACAUUUUGAGGUAUCAAUACAGUGGUUAUUAGUCCUAGUAUGUUAAAUUAAUUUGACCCAGGUGCUACAUUUGGGUUUACAUAAAUUGAUGUGUUAGAUGAACAUAUUAGUGAAGAAAGGUAGUGAUAAGCAUUUUUUUCACAGAUGGUCUAUUCUAUUUGCUAAAAUUCCCUAACUAUAACUGAAAUGUUCCUUAUUUUUAUAAUAAAAACAAAUGACCAAAGUUGCCAAAGGUCAAAGUUCAGUCCCCACCAAGAGGAUUUUGUCUGUCUUUGACACUUGCACUAUUGUCUGUUCAAAUAAAUGAAAAGAAAUGGAUCCUUGUGCAUUGGACAGUGACUUCUGUGUACCCUUAGGACUCUGACACACCAAGCCUGCGGUCAGCUGUCGGUCAAAGUUGGGCCAUUGGUUAACGUCUUUUGCCCUAGUUGGUGCAAUGUGUCACACUGUUGCCCCUUGUCAGUCCCUGUCAACUUUUUUCUUUUAGCUGAUUCAGCAUGUUGAAUUGGCAUCAGCAAUGCCAGAGCUCGUCAGUGAAUGAAAUCACUCUGAUUAGCAAUUCAGCUCAUCUCAUUGGAAGAAAAACGGAGGUGGGGAAAGUAAACAAAGAGCUAAAGUCAAGAGGGAGUGAGAACAAGAACAUGUUCCAUAAGGUCAGAUUAUUUUUCAUCCACUGAGCUCUUUAGCAGAAACGUUUCCUGAUGGUUUGUGUUAUUGUUUACUGCCGCACAGUAAAUACGCUCUGUUCUAUCAACAUUGGAUUGUGUUAUUAAUAUACUGACUGGCUUAAGUAUAAUCUGUAGUUC